GACGAACGCUGGCGGCGUGCUUAACACAUGCAAGUCGAACGGAAAGGCCCUGCUUUUGUGGGGUGCUCGAGUGGCGAACGGGUGAGUAACACGUGAGUAACCUGCCCUUGACUUUGGGAUAACUUCAGGAAACUGGGGCUAAUACCGGAUAGGAGCUCCUGCUGCAUGGUGGGGGUUGGAAAGUUUCGGCGGUUGGGGAUGGACUCGCGGCUUAUCAGCUUGUUGGUGGGGUAGUGGCUUACCAAGGCUUUGACGGGUAGCCGGCCUGAGAGGGUGACCGGCCACAUUGGGACUGAGAUACGGCCCAGACUCCUACGGGAGGCAGCAGUGGGGAAUAUUGCACAAUGGGCGGAAGCCUGAUGCAGCAACGCCGCGUGCGGGAUGACGGCCUUCGGGUUGUAAACCGCUUCCGCCUGUGACGAAGCGUGAGUGACGGUAAUGGGUAAAGAAGCACCGGCUAACUACGUGCCAGCAGCCGCGGUGAUACGUAGGGUGCGAGCGUUGUCCGGAUUUAUUGGGCGUAAAGGGCUCGUAGGUGGUUGAUCGCGUCGGAAGUGUAAUCUUGGGGCUUAACCCUGAGCGUGCUUUCGAUACGGGUUGACUUGAGGAAGGUAGGGGAGAAUGGAAUUCCUGGUGGAGCGGUGGAAUGCGCAGAUAUCAGGAGGAACACCAGUGGCGAAGGCGGUUCUCUGGGCCUUUCCUGACGCUGAGGAGCGAAAGCGUGGGGAGCGAACAGGCUUAGAUACCCUGGUAGUCCACGCUGUAAACGGUGGGUACUAGGUGUGGGGUCCAUUCCACGGGUUCCGUGCCGUAGCUAACGCUUUAAGUACCCCGCCUGGGGAGUACGGCCGCAAGGCUAAAACUCAAAGGAAUUGACGGGGCCCCGCACAAGCGGCGGAGCAUGCGGAUUAAUUCGAUGCAACGCGUAGAACCUUACCUGGGUUUGACAUGGAUCGGGAGCGCUCAGAGAUGGGUGUGCCUCUUUUGGGGUCGGUUCACAGGUGGUGCAUGGCUGUCGUCAGCUCGUGUCGUGAGAUGUUGGGUUAAGUCCCGCAACGAGCGCAACCCUUGUUCACUGUUGCCAGCACGUUAUGGUGGGGACUCAGUGGAGACCGCCGGGGUCAACUCGGAGGAAGGUGGGGAUGACGUCAAGUCAUCAUGCCCCUUAUGUCCAGGGCUUCACGCAUGCUACAAUGGCUGGUACAGAGAGUGGCGAGCCUGUGAGGGUGAGCGAAUCUCGGAAAGCCGGUCUCAGUUCGGAUUGGGGUCUGCAACUCGACCUCAUGAAGUCGGAGUCGCUAGUAAUCGCAGAUCAGCAACGCUGCGGUGAAUACGUUCCCGGGGCU
rnacentral:rRNA from 1 species